rnacentral:misc_RNA from 1 species
UCUCCGUAGGUGAACCUGCGGAGGGAUCAUUACUGAGUGAGGGCCUUCGGGCUCGUCCUCCAACCCUUUGUGAACACAACUUGUUGCUUCGGGGGCGACCCUGCCGUUUCGACGGCGAGCGCCCCCGAAGGUCUCCAAACACUGCAUCUUUGCGUCGGAGUUUGAAACAAAUCGAACUAAACUUUCAACAACGGAUCUCUUUGUUCUGGCAUCGAUGAAGAACGCAGC